UUCAUCAUCUUGUUAAGUGCUUGGUUUAGGAUAAAGAUCAUCUCCCUGUAGAGGUUGGUUUGGGGUAGCUGUGCCCUGUCGGUACGUCAAACCGCAUAGAUGAGCUACUCUUUGAUUGUCGUAGUGAGAGUGGUACAUUUUAGGGUGGCGCCGUUAAUCUCAGUCUGAGAAUAUGUAGCAAAAGACCACCUUAAAAACCCGAAGGCCUAACAAAUUGAAAAACCGUGUAAAUAGCAUACAGUGUAGGUAAUUAAACUCACCACAGUUUUAUGUGGGACUGCUAACUCGACGUGUAAACUUAAGGAAGAGCUGUGUGAAGCUUCACACCACUUCAUCCCGCUCUUCUUUCCAAGUGUGCAGGCACAACUUGUAGGCAAUAUAUGCCAAAGCUUUUCUACCAUUUGCAACCAUUUCUAAGGAACUUUGAGUGUGUGAAUGUAUGUCUCUUUAUCCCUCUGAUAACAUAAAGUCAGUUAUUUCUGCAAGUGAAGACACCGUAAUUUAUACAAUCAUAAUGUGAUGAUGUGCAAACUGUCUAUUUCAGGUAAUGCAUCUUGGGAAAUACACCUGUUUGCUGUCUUGAUGCAGCAUUUCCACCAGUAGAGCUGUUUACCCCGGCAGCUUUGACUGACCUUUGGGGGUUGGAGCCACAAUUUAAUGUUGCACUCAGUUAAUUUUGUGCCAUCGCCUGCUGUAAUGUUAAUUGUGAGGUGCAGACAGAACAGUGUUGGCUUAAGUGCAUCUCUGCACUCCUAAUGGAUGAUGAGGAUGAAACCAGAGAGUUUUGCCACUCUGCUCGGUCAACGAAUGGUCUAGUCUCCACAGUGUAAUUAGUGGACAUGAGUGAAAUAUCACACGAGCAGGUAAAACAGUAUUAGCUACAAUAUUUGCUUCACUCUUUCUUUACUUUCGCCUAAACAGCUAACAGAAACAGUUAGUUAAUGCCCAGCUGUUAACCAACUUGGUGAUUGAAGCUUUCGUAUUAAAAAAAAUGAUGUUCUUGUGCCCAACAGGGGGAUUAAUUUAGGCCCAGUGGCUUUCCGAGGAAGAUCAAUACUCAUGUCUUUGUUUUAAAUAAAGAGCUAGAGUAAGGUAGUGAUUAGCCUAGCUUAACAUAAAGAGUAGCCACAGGGCAAAACACCUUACCAAAACCUGUAAAAGCUUAUAAGUUACCAUUUGUCUUGUGUGAUUAAUUCUUAUAUAAAUAUUAAUGUAGUGUUAAUGUGCUCUGCUGGUUAAACAGCUAGAUGUAGUGAAUGAGUGGUCCUUAAAGGAUGGAUAAAACAUUCAACAUAUAGCUACACCACUAACUGGGCUGCUGAACCACCAAUGGUUUGAUUUAGUUUCCAGUUUGAAACAUCACAUGCAGAUCGUAAGAGAGCCAGAUGGAUCUGUACAGCAGGCUGUGGAGGGAUUUCAGGCGAUGGUCAUCUGACAGGCAAGAGUUGUGAUUUUGCUGGCAGGGCUGCUCCAGCUUUGUAACGUCUUUCUGUUUUUAAAGCUACAAAUAAGAACUUGAUGAAUUCUGUGUUAAUGUUCUUUCAGUGUUAUAAUGUGAGAGUUGCCUAGUAACAGAUUGUUCUAACAUAAUUAUGAAAAAAAGCCAAACUCUGAUACAUUUUAUUCAAGUAAUGUCACUUGAUAGUAAAGUGUUACCAGUUGACAUGUUUCAAAUGGAAACUUAAAUAUGAAUCUAAGAUGAAAUCCAAAGCACACAGAGCUCUGUAUAUUCUACUGUAAUAAUACAUUAGCUCAUUAAUUCAGGUAUGGGCUGCUUCACAAUUUGACAGAUCGAUGUGUUAGCCUAGCACAGAGGGUAUAUUUUUACUAGGAGCGCAGUCGUGAAACUACAGUUUCGCACAUGCAGGGUUGAAAAAUAUUUACAGUGUUCACAGUAACUCUGAUAUGAUGUGAACAUUGCAUUAACCUCUAUCAAAAGAGACAAAAGACAGUAUCAAAUUUGGCUUAUGACAUGUUUGCUCUUAGCUAGCUUGCUAACAUUAGACGCUAGGAUACGGAGACUUGUAAUUACAGCUUUUUCACACCAGCCAUUUUAAUAUGAAAUACCAGGUAAACAUGUUCUACAAAUGCCAUUAAUGAAGGUUCUGUUAUUUAAACUUUGAAAAGCUUUAAUUAAUGUGAUAAGUUGACCUAUAUUUAUUUAGCAUUUUAUGUCAAAAUGGCUGCUGUGUGGUCACCAUAGCUAAUUUUAAGCUAACGUAAUAGCUGAUACUUUCAAAACGCAGGCUGACUGCUUGUUAAAGUUUUUUGUCUUUUUUUAAUAAAAUGGAUCUAUUAUUAAGUGCUUGUUGAAUUUUUAAAUCUCCAAUAAAACUCAGACAAGUAGGAAGUUGAUAAAAUGAUGUAACUUCCACUGUUAAGCUAGGCUAACGGUUUCCCAGCUCUAGCUGUGCAGUUGACGCUCAAACCUGAAUGACAGAUGCCUUGUGACCUUGUUCCCAAAGGGAAAGCAAAUGGGUGUAUUUCCCAAAAGUAAGCUGUUUCUUAAAACACUACAUUAUGAUUAGAUUAAGAAGCUUUCUUAAAGAGACAUGAAAUGUUAUCUUCCAAGUCUGCCAAAACGUGUGAGAAAUUGAAUAGUCUUGAGCCCUGUGCUUUUAUUUUGCAUGUACCUUUACAGUAUAAGCCUGUUUUUUGCCAAAGCCUGGAGCUUGAGCCCUACCGGCUGAUUUGUGCAUGCACAAGCUUUUGGUAAUAGCAUACCUCGACGCUCACCUGAUUAUCGACACAGUCCAAAAUCAGAGUAUAACCGGCCUGCGUGACUGUUUCUGGACAGUGAGUUUUGUGAACUUUAAGCUGUACAAAUCGUAUAAUCCCAGUGUUACAUGGAUGGCAUGAUAUUUUAGAUGAUAUGCAGUACCUUUUUGACAUCCUGUAGGUUGUCUUAAUGCUUUGUUCCAAGUAUACAGGCUCGUACCCUCAUGGUGAGUGGAAUGAGGUCAGCAGCUGUGUGUCUGUUGUGGAUUAAGUGUUGCAUUGUUGUCUCUGCAGCAGAAGAUGAAGAUUUGAAACUGGGACUCUGUCGGCACAGCAUCAGACUCAUCGUAGGCCCGAGGAGCGUGUGGAAAAAUGUGUUAAUUAUGUAAAUGGAAAAUAUUUGAUUUUAACAGUUGAUUUAGGCGUAGUUUUUCUCAAAGCUACACCAAACUGAUCUAGACUUUCGUUCCUUGAUAUCUGUGAUCAUUCCUACUUGGAUCGUGCUUGCAAACCCUCCUGACAUAUUUCUUCAUGUAUUAAUGUUCUGUGUUUUAAAACGAGCCGUCGUGCUAUAGGGUUUGACCAGCAGCAGCAUGUCUCAACCAUUUUCUCACCAACUCUUUUGAGAUUCUGUAGGUGUCUUAACUCUGUGGAUACAGUUUGAAACUCAGUGCCCCAUCGAGAAAAGAAAUCGAGAAGAAAAAUGUGAUCCAUGCCACUCGUUUCCUCCCUUAUGAUCCUACUUUGCAUAAUGUUCUUGUGCUGCAGGAUUUUUACAGGGAAUCAGUGAAAGGCC
ensembl:lncRNA